rnacentral:misc_RNA from 1 species
GAUGAAGAACGUAGCGAAAUGCGAUACGUAGUGUGAAUUGCAGAAUUCCGUGAACCAUCAAAUCUUUGAACGCAUAUUGCGCUCGAGGCUACGGCCGAGAGCAUGUCUGCCUCAGCGUCGGUAUUACCCCUCGCUUCUCAACCCCUGGUUGAUGCCUGCCUGCCUUUGCAGUUGGCUAGAAGCGGAUCUGGCUUUCCCAAUUGCCUUUGGUAGUUGGGUCAGCUGAAGCACAGAGGCUUGAGCAAGGACCCUUAUUGGGCUUCAACUGGAUAGGUAGAACUGGUCUUAGGACCAACUACACGAAGUUGUUGCUUGAGGUCUUUGUCUGGAGGCCAGCAGGAAAGCUUUAUACCUUCGACCUGAGCUCAGGCAAGAUUACCCGCUGAACUUAAGCAUAUCAAUAAGCGGAGGA